rnacentral:rRNA from 1 species
UACGUAGGGUGCAAGCGUUGUCCGGAAUUAUUGGGCGUAAAGAGCUCGUAGGCGGUUUGUCGCGUCUGCUGUGAAAGCCCGGGGCUCAACCCCGGGUCUGCAGUGGGUACGGGCAGACUUGAGUGCGGUAGGGGAGAUUGGAAUUCCUGGUGUAGCGGUGGAAUGCGCAGAUAUCAGGAGGAACACCGAUGGCGAAGGCAGAUCUCUGGGCCGUUACUGACGCUGAGGAGCGAAAGCAUGGGUAGCCAACAGGAUUAGAUACCCCCGUA